rnacentral:lncRNA from 1 species
CCAAAAACAGCGUUUUACUAUGGCAUUGAUGUUGAGGAAAUCGUUUCCCUCCAAUAACCGGCAGUCAAGUCAGCGUCACAAAUUAAAUAAUUAAAAUUAGAAAACAUUGGUAAAAUAUUAUAUUGUCAUUUAAAGAAUUAUAGAUUUACAUCUCUUGAACGCAAUCAACUUGCCAGAUUUAAAAAUAACCUUACUGGGAAAUCACACUUUGCAAUAAUCUGAGCACUGCGCCCAGAAAAAUACGCGUUGCGAUACAGACUAGACGUCAUGUUGGGGAGAUCGAAAAUACUAUGUAAAUAAUCCAUUACCUUUGAUUCUCUUCAUCAGAUGUCACUUCCAGGUAUCACAGGUCCAUAACGAAUGUAGUUUUGUUCAAAAAAGCUCAUCAUUUAUGUCCAAAAAUCUCCGUCUCGUUAGCACAUGAUGUAAGCCAGCCGGACUUCUCGUCAUGAACGAGGGGAAAAAAUAUAUUUCCGUUCGUUCAAACAUGUCAAACGUUGUAUAGCAUAAAUCAUUAGGGCCUUUUUUAACCAGAACAUGAAUAAUAUUCAAGGUGGACGAAUGCAUACUCUUUUAUAACGUAUUGGAACGAGGGUACCCAACAUGAACUCGCGCGCCAGGUGUCUAAUGGGACAUCAUCGUUCCAUGGCUCUUGUUCGGUCAGAUCUCCCUCCAGAAGACUCAAAACACUUUGUAAAGGCUGGUGACAUCUAGUGGAAGCAAUAGGAAGUGC